rnacentral:rRNA from 1 species
CGAGCGGAAACGAGUUAACUGACCCUUCGGGUGACGUUAACGGCGUCGAGCGGCGGACGGGUGAGUAAUGCCUGGGAAUAUGCCUUGAUGUGGGGGAUAACCAUUGGAAACGAUGGCUAAUACCGCAUAAUGCCUUCGGGCCAAAGAGGGGGACCUUCGGGCCUCUCGCGUCAAGAUUAGCCCAGGUGGGAUUAGCUAGUUGGUGAGGUAAUGGCUCACCAAGGCGACGAUCCCUAGCUGGUCUGAGAGGAUGAUCAGCCACACUGGAACUGAGACACGGUCCAGACUCCUACGGGAGGCAGCAGUGGGGAAUAUUGCACAAUGGGCGCAAGCCUGAUGCAGCCAUGCCGCGUGUGUGAAGAAGGCCUUCGGGUUGUAAAGCACUUUCAGUCGUGAGGAAGGUGGUGUAGUUAAUAGCUGCAUUGCUUGACGUUAGCGACAGAAGAAGCACCGGCUAACUCCGUGCCAGCAGCCGCGGUAAUACGGAGGGUGCGAGCGUUAAUCGGAAUUACUGGGCGUAAAGCGCAUGCAGGUGGUUAGUUAAGUCAGAUGUGAAAGCCCGGGGCUCAACCUCGGAACUGCAUUUGAAACUGGCUGACUAGAGUACUGUAGAGGGGGGUAGAAUUUCAGGUGUAGCGGUGAAAUGCGUAGAGAUCUGAAGGAAUACCGGUGGCGAAGGCGGCCCCCUGGACAGAUACUGACACUCAGAUGCGAAAGCGUGGGGAGCAAACAGGAUUAGAUACCCUGGUAGUCCACGCCGUAAACGAUGUCUACUUGGAGGUUGUGGCCUUGAGCCGUGGCUUUCGGAGCUAACGCGUUAAGUAGACCGCCUGGGGAGUACGGUCGCAAGAUUAAAACUCAAAUGAAUUGACGGGGGCCCGCACAAGCGGUGGAGCAUGUGGUUUAAUUCGAUG